rnacentral:rRNA from 1 species
CCCGCUGAACUUAAGCAUAUCAAUAAGCGGAGGAAAAGAAACUAACAAGGAUUCCCCUAGUAACUGCGAGUGAAGCGGGAAGAGCUCAAAUUUUGAAUCUGGCGGUCUCUGGCCGUCCGAGUUGUAAUCUAGAGAAGCGUUUUCCGUGCUGGACCGUGUAUAAGUCUCCUGGAAGGGAGCGUCAUAGAGGGUGAGAAUCCCGUCUUUGACACGGACUACCAGUGCUAUGUGAUGCGCUCUCGACGAGUCGAGUUGUUUGGGAAUGCAGCUCAAAAUGGGUGGUAAAUUCCAUCUAAAGCUAAAUACAGGCGAGAGACCGAUAGCGAACAAGUACCGUGAGGGAAAGAUGAAAAGAACUUUGGAAAGAGAGUUAAACAGUACGUGAAAUUGCUGAAAGGGAAACGCUUGAUGUCAGUCGCGUCGCCCGGGGAUCAACCUUGCUUCUCGCUGGGUGUAGUUCCCGGUCGACGGGUCAGCAUCAGUCUCAGUCGCCGUACAAGGGCGAGGGGAAUGUGGCACCCUUCGGGGUGUGUUAUAGCCUUUCGUCGUAUGCGGUGGUUGAGACUGAGGAACUCAGCACGGCUUCGGUCUGUGCUUAGGAUGCUGGCAUAAUGGCCUUAAGCGACCCGUCUUGAAACACGG